CUUGGCAAGGCCCUGUUUAUUCCUCCUUUAAAUGCAGCUUCGCUUCUGGUAAUUGAGGUUAGGCAGCACAGAAGCGCGCGCAGGAGAAAGUCAGAGGGGCUCUGCAAAUAAGAAUGGUUCUUCAGUUCAAGUAUACUGAGCGCAGUUUGGAAAAGGACAUCACCAGUAUCAGAAGCCAGUACAUUUGGAGAGCUUUGCCCAAAUCUAAUGGGAUAGACUAAUUAAUUCCUUUUAGAUAACCAAGAUAUAUUUUUAUUUUUUUUAAGAUGGCUAGAGGUGGGGAAACACGGUCCUGUGAGAACAUGAAGAGUACCAAGCUCUGACGGGUGUCAUACAUGGAAUGAAGAAAUUGCAAGUUGCUUAAAAGCGACGUUUUGGGAGGGAGAACUGACUGUCAGUAAGGAAAUACUUCAUCUAUCAUCGUCUGGUUUUCUUCUGGGAAAAAAAAAAAAAAGCCAACCUUCAAAGGUCUGAGUAUUGGCAAAACUUUCAGGCCAAGGGUGUAACUAGUAACGUCUUACCUUUGGGCAACCCUCGAAAAAGGCUAAAUGAUUAAUGUUGUUUUCGACAUCGGAUGUGAAAGUAUGCUUGGAACCCCCCCUGCGUAGAAUGGCAGCACGAGAAGAACAAGAAGUGCCUGGUUUGCGUCAGGAGGAACACGCCAUGCUGCUUCCACUCCCACCGCUCUCCUCAGCCUCCCACAGCCCCAGCUACCAAGUCAUUAACAGGAAAGUCAUGGAACGUUUAGUGAGUAUGCCAAGAUCCAAUAGCUCUCUCCAGAUAAUGAGCAAGUUGAGAUGAAGUGGUGCCCUUUCUGGUUCCCGUCCUUUCUUUCCAAUCACUUUCUUCCACACACUGUCUAAUCUUGUGGGAUGGUUAUAUUAAAAUCAAUGGACGGUUUUCUCUGUUACAGAUUCCGCAGGCUGAGAUCUCACUGACAUCUCUUUCCUUCUUGUCCAUGCCAGCAAAGACCAGCAUGAGGGCUUGUUCCAGAAUACAGCCCUUGGAGCCCAGCUUAAGAUCAUGUCUUUCUCGUGUUAGUCAUGGUUUUCCUCAGAGGUACGCCUUCCCUCCUUGCUACGCAUAUUCUGUGCAUCAGUCCAUAGCUGGUUUCAGCAGAAUCUAUUUUGUUGAAGAGGCUGAAUUUCUAUGAUUCUAUGAAUUCUGCAGGGGAAAAGACGCAUCAAUGACUCUCUUCUGCGUUGUCUCCUGAAAUAGAAGACCUCCCAAGAGAGAGGUGAAAAAGAUGCCUGACAAUUUCCUUAUAAUGACAGGAACGACGUCGGUUGCUAACUGUGGCUGCCCACUUCAGGUCUAGACCAAAGGCUUGGCAAACACAGGAGCGAAGAGAAUCCAGCUGGUUCAGAGGGACGGGUGUGCUUCAAGCUUAUAAUUUACAAAGAGGAUGAAGACGACUACAAAUGCUGCUGCUUAAGAAUGCAGUACUCUUAUCAACACAGAGAAAAAGGUCUCUUCUUUCAAAGGAACAGCACAAUAAAAGCAAGCAAAACUUGACCUCGUUUAUUGGUAGCACUGUUGAGAUGAACUCCAGCUCUGACCCGUUUCUCCAGAGUUACCCUCGUCUGCUGUAACGAUACCACUUUACUUUUUAAAUCCCGUAUUGCUGUACUUUGAGAUUUAGAGAAGUUACUCUCUCUCUGGUUACAGACCUUGUUACUUCAGGGGCAAGCCAGCAUGAGGAAUGAAUGAAUGCACGUGACUGAGCCGAGACAAGGCAUGUGCUGAAGUCAUCAUAAUGAAUUUGUGAUUUUUAUUUGAGUGUGUUUAUAAUUUUAUAAUUUAUUUCUAUAACUUUGUUAAUUAUACACACUUUUAUGUGCGUGCGUGUGUAUAUACAAAGAAUGAUCCGCGCCAAGGUCACGUGGUGAGGGAUUUGGGUUUUGUCAUUUGUUUGGCAGACUGCGCUUUGCUGAGAUAUGAUCAGCCUCUCUACGCAACAUGGGAACAAUAAAUACAAAAGACUCUAAGAAAUCAAGUUCUUACAUAUACAGAACCAAACCCCUUGGUGACAGAAGUUGAGGCCUUUAAGUCAAUUUAAUCCUUGCAUAAAUCAACAGAAGGGAAGUGAAUUGCAUUACAUGAGGGUCUGGUAUUUAUAAUCUGAUUUUUUUUUUUUAUUAACAGUGUAUCCAACCUUACAGAACAAACUUUUUCCCCCAAGUUUCAUAUCUAUCUGUGUCACCAAAAUGAAUAGAAAACUUGUUCUUCUGUUUUCCUCAAGUCAAAAUUCCUUAGUAAAUUUUCAAUCUUCAAAACAUGUAAUUAAUCUUGUUUGUUUGUUUGUUUUACCACUCAGGAGACUGUUAGCAGUGUUCACAGCAACACUGCGCUGGUAACAAACACUGAAUCAGGUUCUCACAAAGCACAGGAUUAGCUCUAGACCUGAGUUUUCAAGGGAAAAAAAACCCAAACCAACAAAACCAACUCAUAUCUUUUCAUUUACCCUCUGCUUUCCAGCAAGUUUUAAGU